rnacentral:sRNA from 1 species
AAUAAAUAAAUAAAAAACGAUGUGUCGAACUAAAAAAUUUCUCCUAUUUUCAAUUUAAUUUUUUAUAAUUUUGACAACCGCCUUAAAUUUUCUUAUUCCCACAUUACUUUAGGUCCACGCGAAUGAACGCUGAUGAUUUGGGUUUGAUGUGGAGGUAUUUUUUCUCACUUCGAUUUCGUUGUUUACAGAGGGUUUCUUCAACUGGUACGAUGAACAAGUUUCUAUGGAUCCGCGAUCGUCUGUCCGUGGUAAGAAGAGUUAGAAUCAUAGAUUAUCUAGAUUUUUUUAAAAUUUUAAUGUUGUUAUUGUAAAACAAUCUCUACAACUAGCUUGGAGAAAAAUCUUAUUGUCUAAUAAUUUGUUCCACUUAGAACACCUUCUCGGCAUUGUCCAUAACACAACAAUUUAGAUUCGCAUUAGAAGCAAACUUGGUUUAUUGAAAAAAAUUAACUUGCCUUUAUAGUUGAUGAGGUUCAGGCGUAGGUUAUUAUUUUA